rnacentral:lncRNA from 1 species
UUUUUUUUUUUAAUGUAGAACUUUGUCACUGUUUCCUAGCUCCUUAAUGGCUGGGAAAUUACUUUGGUAGAGAUAACUUUAAGAUUUGAGUAGCUUUUGCUAGACAGGACAGACAGACAGAUGAGUGCUGUAAAUGUCCAUUUGAGGAAUGCUUGACUGAAAUAGUUUCCCCUGCAAAACUUCCAUGGUUAAUGAGUCUUACAACAUUAAAGUUAAAGCCUGAUUUUUGGCAUGUACCCAUGAGGAAUACCAUGCUAAAUAUAGAUAGAAAUCUUCAUACAACAUGAAACAAUUUCUCUACUGAAGAUCUGAAAGAGGUAAGACAUAGGACGAGCAUUUUGAUUGAGGGAGUUAUGCUGUAAACAAAAAGAAAGUCGAAUUUUUGUUUAGAGGUGGGGCAUUACUAAGAAGGGCUUAUAGGAGGUGGUAUAAAAAGCAAAACAAUAUGAAAAAGCACAGGACAUUCUGGGUUGGGGAGGAAAUGGACGAUACUAGUAAGUGACAGAAAGGGACCCAUGUGUAGUGCUGUUUAAUAUUUUUGCUAAGGAGUAGCUCUGAAGCAUGGGAUGUGCUUUCCUGUUUUGUGAUUUAUUCACUCAUCCAUUUGAUGGAUAUUUAUUAAGUGCCUAAUAUGUGCCAUGUAUGUAUUAGUUCCUGCCUUCAAGGGAGUUAUAUUUCCAGUAGAGGGGAGAUAGAGAUUUAAAAAUUCAUAUAAUGUGACAGGUAGCAAGUGCUGUAAAGAAAAAUAAAGCAGAGUGAGAGUUAUGGGGUUUCUGUGUCUCAUAGUGGUCAGAGAAGGGAGAAGCAACAGAUGAGGACAGAGAGGCAAAUGGGGGAGAACCUCAGAGGUUCUCUAGGACUCUAUGAAUCAUGGUUAAGUUCUUUAGAUUUUGCUCUAAGGUGGGAAACUUAUGCAGGAUGAUCCUUCUAUAGAUGACAAUAUAGUGGAAAGAGCUUGGAUUUUGGAGUAAGCUACACUUAAUCCUUUCUCUGCUGAGUGUCAACUAUAUAUAUGUUCUCAUGUGUAAACAGGGCUAUUAAUUUCCUUCUGCUUGUGUAGAAGUAAAUGAGAUUGUGUAUUUAAGGUUCUUAGCACAGUGGUUGAAAACACAUAGUUAAUUUUGUCUCCAAUAUUAUUGUUACUAUAAAUAUAAACGAAGCUCCAAGAUACUUCAUUUGUUGUUUGUUGCUUUUUGCAGUGCUGGGGAUGGAACCUUGGGCCCUGAGCAUGCUGGGCAAGGCUCUACUACUGAGCCACAUUCCCAGUCCCGCUCCAUUUGUUUUUAAUAAGUCUGUUGAUCAUCUUGAAAAAGUGGUUCUGCAAUAUUUCUGAGUAGGUGCGCGACUAAAGAUCUGCCAUGUGUUAUUGCAAUAUUUUCUGAGAAUGCUCUGGUGGAGACAAGGUUCAGGCUGCUCACAGCAAAAAUCAGACUUCCAUGAUAGUGGCUAGCCACUCUGAUGCUUUUGUUGUCCCCUAAAAAUGUAAAAAAAAAAACAAAAAACCAACCAGCAGGCAAUGCUUACAUCUUCUUUGGGAGGUAAUCCAGACCAGAUGCAUGAUUUUCCUUCUUGGCACUUAAAUAUACAAAUAACUUAAGCUCAAUAUCUGACACAUAAUAGGUGUUUAUUGAGUGAAUAAAUGGAUGAACAAAGAAUAAAGACAUAACAGUGGUGUAUCAUUCUGUACUUAUAAUCUGUGAACGACCUUGAAUAAAUU